GUCACUCGGAUCCAUUCCUUUAAAAGAUUGACAUCUUUCUGGUUUGGGUUCCACCUUUUUACGAGCUGUUACAACAUGAUUUGCCAGGAAUAGGUUUUCAGUGUUACGGUUGAUAUAUAAAGGACCGCUCAUUUGUACCAUUGGAGCAUUUCUUUCACUAUGCAGUGGACCAGUAUAGCCACCAAGAUUGGUUUCAAAACCAUAAGACUCCAUGGAAUUCACAGGAAUAGAAAUUGAUGCACUCUGAUUCCUGGAAAGAAAUGGCGAAAAUCGAGAAUCCACCUCUUCAUCCACUAACUUUGGAUGAGUGUCUGACAGCAUUGAUACAUCAUCUUUUUCAUGGUCAGCCAUUUCUUAUUAAUAGGGCCUAUAAAAGGAACAGAAAAUAAAGUCAAUAUUCAAUACACAUAAAUGCAUGUCCAAUUACAGAAGGAAAAUUCAUGAAGAAACACACUGUAUUUUUAUUCACAAAAGUAGGAACCCAAAGACGGGAGAAGAAAAAUAAGAAAAGCAGGCGAAACACCAGUUGCUCCUAUGCUCGUAAUGAUUUUGAAUUCAUGAGAUAAAUAAAUCAUUCUUAAUAAUAUAAAAAGCUCAUUCGGACCAAUCAUGUUCGAGCAGAAAAAUUCUAGUUGAGUUCAGUUCCCAUGGUUUUAACCUUUGGUGAAGAAGUGUUCAGCUUAUUGAAGUCGAGCUCAAAAGGUUACAUUUAACCAAUGUAGUACAUACCAUAAUACAAUGGUUCUUGCUACCACCACCUGAUCUAUCGAAAACUGCCAACUUAAUUUAUUUCUUAAUGCAAAUGUAUCAAAAGGAACAAAAUCAUUCAUGAACAGCGAAGGGUGCUAGACUUUUAAGCUAAAUUGCUAAAACCCACUUAAGAACUCACUACACAAAAGCAAAAACAAGUACAAAAAAGGCACAAACCUGCUGUAACUUAGAAGCAGAGAAAACCAAACUCUCAAAGAAAACCAAACUGCAUCGUCUAGCAAAUGUAUCAAAAAUUCAAACGGUUAUAGCUACUAGCUCUUGAUGUCUCACUUAACAAUUACCACCACCAAUUUUAUCUUCAGGAUACUUAAAUUUUCCUGUCGCAGUUGAGAGAUUAAUCUCUAUACUGCAACUUCCCUGGAAUGGUUAAGACCUUUUCAAGCAAUGUUAGGGAAGUUUUCAGCACUCAAGCCAUCCAAUGAUUAUUUUUGCUCCACAACUCAUGAUAAGCGUCAACCUUACUGACUAAUUUUAUACUUUUGUUAAGUCACUCAAUCUUGAAUCAACCAAGUGACCAUCCUAUUGAUAAUCUGCAACUAAUUACCUCUUAAAUCUUAACUUCACCAGGCAUUUUACAUAGAUACCUGAUUCUAUGUUGUGUAAAAACAUCAUUAACCAAAAGGACUUCAAGUAGACUCUAUAGUUCUUACGUUGUAAGCAAAAACCUUAAAGACCUAGUUCAACAUGGCAUUACUGUUGUAGUUAUAAAACCCGACCUGAUAGAUCAACCUGACUCAUAGCUUAGCCUAUGCAAGUUGUACUUGAAACUGUUUGUUUUGUGAAAAAAAAAAAGAAGGUUUUUUAAAAGAAAUAACACAUGAAAUAACUUUGCUUUGAUUUUAAAGAAAAUGAUGAUCCGUCAACCCACAACUCUAAACCCUAGCUUUCGUCUUAUAACUAUAAUUAUUACUGUUAGCAUUUAGAUUAGAAAGCCCAUGACAAAGCAGAGCAUAACAAUUCACAAAUUUAUUAGCUAGUUUUACACAUUGAUGUGUAUUUAGAUGAGACUGCCCGUAUAUGACAAGAACAGAUACCCAAUUUGACUUUAAAAGAACAAAAUCAUUCAUGAACAGCAAAGGGUGCUAGACUUUUAAGCUAUAUUGCUGAAACCCACUUAAGAGAUCACUACACAAAAACAAAAACAAAAAAUAAGUACAAAAAACGCACAAACCUGCUGUAACUUAGAAGCAGAGAAAACCAAACUCUCAAAGAAAACCAAACUGCAUCGUCUAGCAACGAGCAAAGCAAUUCAAGCUUGAAAGAGCAGUACAGAAGGAGAGAGACGUCUAUGAGACUUUGGAAGAGACGGUGAAGACUUUAGUUUACUGCUGCAUCAAGGUGAGAGAGGAUGACUUUUGGCCCCUGGCUUGCUUUAGGAGCCCAUUGUACAAGGCAUAAUAGUAAAGAACAGACAAGAACUUAAUUAACGUUCCCAGUUCCUACCUUAACGAUGAUACUUUACCCUCUCUAUUUUAUUCGUUGGCUUGUGUCAUGCCAGGUUGCCAGUUAUCACCUGUCAACUGCUUCCGACUUGUUCUUAGUUGACCUUUAGUAAAAUAAUAUUCGUUCGCAUUGGCUUUGCCGUCAGCAUUGGCGGGUACCAUCUUCUCUUGCUUCACCGUGGGAUAGGGUUUAUCUCUUUCAUAAAUUUUAAAAGUUAUUUAGUGAUUCAAGUAUAAUAUAAAUUAUAUAAAUUAUAUUUUAAAUUUUUAGGUUGGGAUGGUUUUUUAACUUCUAAUUUAAUCAAAAAUUUACCUCAAUUUUGUAACAAAAUCUUGAUAUAAGUUAAAACUUAUUUCUAUAAGUUAUAAAUAAAAAUGAAUAUAACUAAAAUGGUUCUGUAGAAAUCAUACCAAACAAAAACCUAAAAAUAUGUAGUUGAGAAUUCAAGCUUGAUCAUUAUCUAAUUCUAGCUCAAAUUAAGUUUGAAUGAUUGCACUAGUUAUGUGAUUAUCCUCAUUAAAAUGUUUGAUCGAGACCUAACAUUAAUUAAUUAAUUAAUAUAAAAUUCUCAUUAAAUCUAUAGAUUUAAUCAGAUAAUAACUGCAUUAAGUAUGUAUUUGAUAGACAAAGGCUUUUGACUUUAAUUUAGUUUUUAUUGUUUUUUAUUUUCAAGAUUUAAUUUUAAAAAAUAUUUGAUAGAAUUCUAAAUGUCAUCUUGAAUUUGUUUUUGCAUUACAACAUGUCGUUCAAAAUACUUUUUAAAUUAUUUUUCAUCAUAAAAAAUAUCAAAAUGAUUUUUUUAGAUGACUUUAAUCGUUUUGAUUUGUUAAUAUUAAAAAUUAAAAAAAUAUAAAAAAUAAUAUUUUAAUAUAUUUUUAAUUAAAAAUAUUUUAAAAAUUAUUAUUAAUCACAAUUCAAAAAAACUCAAAGCCAAAAGUAAGAAGCCACAAAAUGAUUUUUUUUGGAUUUUGAUUAUAUUAUAAUAUAAAAGCAUUUUAAUAUAUCAUCAAAUUAACACGUUCAAGAUUGCCUAAGGAAAGCAAUUCGAGAUAUCAAGCAUUCUUGUGUUUGGCACGCCAAGAAAUCUUGAGUUUCUAAAAUCUGGAAUGCUCUAGCACAUUCGAUUGCCCGGGAAAUAUGAUUAACCAUAACUAGUGUUUCAUUAAAGUGCGGAUAUUAUUCACUGUGAAUGAAUUCCUUGUGGGUUGAGGGCAUAUGAGGAGACUGCAGCCUAAAGAAUUCAAAUGCCAGGUUAGAGGGGUGUUUGGGACACCCUGCACAAACGUGAUGCUUGGGCUCCUACUUGUGGGUUGGGCACUCACCAACACACACAUUGCGCUUGGGUUGUGCUGGGUGAACCAUGAUCGCGCCCCAUUAAGGACAAGUAGUGCUUGGGUCAUGACUCCGGAUUCAAGGGGAAUGUGUAGAGCGUCAGGAUCCAUGAUCAAUGAGUUUAGUGUAAGGAUCGAAUUUUAUUGGGUCUUCAUCAAGACUCAAUGUUCAUGGGUCCUAGGAUUUAUUCUAAAUAUUGUUAUUUAUUUUAGAAAUAUUGUUAUUUUUGUUAUAAUUAAUAUUAUUAAUAAAUUUAAAAAAAUAUAUUAUUAUUUACAUUAUAAAUUUUUAUGGCAUUUUUUUUAUAUAAAAAUAAAAAGUGAGCACGCGGCGUAGUAUUAUUAAAAAUAUUCAACAAUUCUAAAUAAUAAUAUAAAAAAUAUUAUAAUUUGCGUUGUCAAUAGUAUUAUUUUUCUUAUAAUACAAAGUAUUCCUCUCAAAGAUAUUAUUAUUUUUGUUAUAAUAUUAUUAUUUUUUAUAAUAAUUCAAAGUUUUAAUAUAAAAAAAAUAUUAUUAUUUGUGUUCUAAAUAUUCUUGGAAUUAAAAAUAAUAUUUUUUGUGUUAUGAAUAUUACUAUUUUUACUAUAAUCAAAAGUAUUAAUAUUAAAAAUAUUAUUUUUUUGUGUUAUAAAUAAUAUUAUUUUAUAAUAAUCAAUAUUAUUAAUAAAAUAAUUACUAAAUUAGAAAAAAAUUAUUCUUAAUAUUGAAAAACAGCCAAAAAUUUGAUUUGAAAGAUAAAAUUAAAAAUUACUAUUAGUAUUAUUAUUAUCAUCAUUAAUAAAUUUUAAAAAAUUGUUAUUAUUGUCAAAGAAAAACCACGUGGGGACAUGUGGCGCUUGGGUUCCUGCCUGGGGGCUGGGAACAUCACCUGUGCACACGUGGCGCUUGGGCUCCUGCCUUAGUGCUGGGUACACCCUGUGCACACAUGGUGCUUGGGCUCCUGCCUGUGGGGUGGGCACUCCCCAGUUCACACGUGGUGCUUGGGUUUUUGCCUUAGUGCUUGGGACACCCUUGUGCACACGUGGUGCUGGGACUGUUGUCUUUGUGCUGGGCACACCCCUUCGCACAUUUGGUGUUUGGGCUGUCUGUCUAGGAGCUAGGCACACCCAACACACACAUGACGUUUGGACAAGCUAAUACCCAACUAUCCUUGGACCUUGCAUGUUGCAGAACCCAAAACAACCUUGGGUCAUUGGCUAUGCAGGGCCCAAAAUAAACUUGGGUGCUGCAUGUGCAGGAUCCAAAUAGUCUCGGGUCUUGCCAUCAUCAACAUCCAAAUUUUAUAAAAAUAAAAAAUAAGCUAGCAUCAUAGUGCGGGCCACCUAACUAGUUCCUCUUUAAAACGUAGAGAAUUUGAAAUGUCAUAAUAUAUAGUUUUUUUUGUUAAAAAAAAAAACUCAUAUACUCUCAUAUUUUAUAUUAAACUAACGACAACACUAGUAACAACGCAAAUACUUUCAGUAACUAGUUCAUAGGAACUUGCUAGGAAUUUAAUUUUGGACACUUAAUAUAUAUUUUGAUAAGUUUAAUCUAAUACCAAGAUUAUUAACAGUAUAUUAUGUAAUUUAUCACUACAUAUAUUAAUUUAUUUGAUAGUUCCGAUUUUAUAAAAUUAAACAUAAUAUUAUAUUCAUUUAAUCUCUUAGUUUUAUGUACAUGUAAAAGUGUCAAUAUAUAUAUAAACAGAUACUUUAUAAUCAAAUUAGAUACUUUAACAGCUAAGGGUAGAAUAGUAAAUCUAUUCACAUUCCUCGUGAAUUUUCAUUAAUCAACCAAACGCAAUAAAGAUGCAUUACUAAUACUAAAAAACAAAUAUUACAUUUUUAUUAACUAUAUUCUCAACAAUUACAUCUUGGAGGAUGCAAGAUAUCUAAAAAAAAUAUAGUAAUUAAUAAUAUUAUAUUAGUAAUUUUAAUCAAUUAUUUUAAAAAAAUACAAAGUAAAAAAAUGAAAUUUUAUGUAGAGAUAUGUUUAUUAUUUUCUACAUAUAAUGAAUUUGAUAUCCUCCUUUCUACACAUGUUUAUUUAAAAAAAAAAUCAGUAAAAUAGCUAAAACGAUAGCCAUAAUUAUUUAGACAGAAAGAAGAAAAAAAACACGCUACCUUGGGAUUCAGAGGCGGUUGCCGUGUUUUUGUCAUGUUGCUGUCUUGUUGCCCAAGUUUUAACAUAGCAUUAUAAAAGUAUAAUGUAAUAAAAUUCUCCAGAAACAGAAACACACCGAGUUUCGAACUUUCAAAUUGUCUUCCAGGACCUUUACUUUAUUUUUAUUUUUUGUAAAUAAAGUGCCAUUUCUACUUCUUCUUUAAAAGCUUCAAGCUUAACCAGCUGUUAAACAAGGCUAGUUUCUUGCUUCUUUUUGUUUUUUGUUAUUUGUUUUAGUAAGUAUAGGAAUAAGAAUGUUGUAUAUAUUUUUGCUUAGUUCGAUUUUAAUUCAAUUUUGCUUUGUUGAUUGCAGAUUUUUUGUGCUGUUUCUUAAGAUCGUUACUUUCUUUUUAAAAGUAGCAGAGUUUUAUUACAAUAUAUAGUAAUAAUGGUAAGGAUUCUUAGACAUCCUUCUCCUUUCCUUUCUUUUACCGUGGGUAUAUUAUAUUAUAGAAUACUUUAGGGAAAGCACUAUAGCUUUAUAGAAUACUUUAUAGAAUACUUUCCCCACGCAACCUUUUGUUUUUGUUUCAUCCGUUCCCCUCGUAACUAUUUAGUUUUUCUAGUGAAGAUUGUAAUAAAUAAGUGAAACUCUUACCUUUUUUUUCAUUUUUAAUUUUUUUUUCUGUUUUUAUUUAUUAUUUAUUGUUUUUUAUGCUUUUAUUAUUUACUUUUUUCUUUGUGUUUUUUUUUCUUUUAAUGAAUUUUUUUUUGUUUAAUUUAGUUUGUUGAUGUGGAAAAAAAAAUUUAUUUAGUUAUCAGAUUUUCAUGACACAAAUCUUGAGUUUGACGGGUUAACCCAGAAUUCUUUUUUUUUUGUUUUAUUCCUUUUUAAUCACUUUUUUUCGUUUAGUUUAGUUUGUUAAUUUUUUUUUUCGUUUAACCCGUCCAUUUUUUUUUUCUAUUUAGUUAUCAAACUUUCAUGACGUGAAUUCCAGGUUUGACGAGUUAACCUUUUAUAUAACAGUGUUUCACUGUGUUCACAGUGAAACUCUUAACUGUUUUUUUUUUGUUUUUUUUUGUAUGCCUUUAUGGGUUUUUUUAUAUUAGAUUAUAUUAUAGAACUGUCUUUUUUUAUAUUAUUAUUAUUAUUAUUAUUAUUAUUAUAGAACUGUCUUCUUCUUUUUUUCGUUUUUUUUUUUUUGUUUUUUUAAUGAAUUUUUUUGUUUGAUUUAGUUUGUUAAUGUUAAAUUUUUUUUAUUUAGUUAUCAGAUUUUCAUGAUACGGAUCUCGGGUUUGAUGGGUUAACCUGAUUUGACGAGUUAACCUGAAAUUUUUUUAAUUAAUUUUUUUCGUUUAGUUUAGUUUGUUAAUGUUAAAUUUCUUUCUAUUUAAUUAUCAGACUUUCAUGACACGUACCUUGGGCUUGACAGGUUAACUUGGUUUAAUGGAUUAACCCAGUUAAUUAUGGGUAAACCCGUCAAUUUUGUUUUCUAUUUAGUUAUCAAACUUUCAUGACGCGAAUCCAAGGUUUGACGGGUUAAACUGGUUUGAAGGGUUAACCCAAUUAAUUUAGAUUUUUUUUCUUUUUCUUCAUUAAUUUUUUUCUUCAUGUUGGUUUUUUUUUUGUUUUUUUUCUUUUUAAUUAAUCUAUUUAAUUAUCACACUUUAUAACACGGUCUUAUAGCCAGUCCCACAUCCAAUGCUCUUGGAUCCGAUGUUGUAGUCAGACUCACUUAAAAACUUGGGUCAUGCAAGUUUAAUGUUAUUAUUAAUAUUAUAAAUAUUACUCUUAAGUCAAGCAUUGCAGCCAAACCCAAAACUCUUGGGCAUAGCUUUGCAGUAAUGUAACUAGUAUGCAAUAAAAAAUGACCCGCGACAUCAUGCGGGUAAUGUAACUAAUAUACUAUAAAGCCUGAGUCUUUUGAGGUGUUUGCUAAAUGGGUUGCUUUUAUUUUGACCAUUGAAUGAGUAAUUGAGCUUUUCACAAGCCUUUGUCUUGAUGUUUCCGUUGUGGGUUUUAAAGUUUUAAGUGUUUUUAAUCUUAUAUUGCUUUUAACCUCAAUAUGCAUUUUCAUUCUUAAAGCCUAGCAAACGCUGGAUCUUUGAUAUUGCUAUGCUGGUUAAAUCUAGCUCUUAUUCAGUUAUAUUAGACUAGCAUUUCAAGAAGUCUCGUCUUUCUUGCUUGGCAUGCGAAGACAAAUGUUGUUCAUUAUAGCACUUCAAGAAGUCUAUUUAGUUUUCACCUUGUUUAGAUUGGAAGUCCAGCCACAAUGUUGUUGUUAAGUAGAUAUAGUGUAGCAAUCUCAGUACUCGGCAUUCUUGGUUAUUGUUAGUGGGAGAAACCACUGGUGGUGGCUUUAGAACACUCAGAGGGGAUAAAACACAUAGUUUUAUUUCAAAACAACAAGCUUACAAAAUACAAACAAAACACUCUUAAUACACACCCUCUCUUUCUCUCUAGUAUUUCUCUCUUCUUUUUCCCACACAUAAUAACAUAAACUUAACAGCUUAUUUAUACAUAAAUUGAGAGGCAGCAGGUGGUGGUGGUUGAUAGUAGGUGGCUGCAGGUGGUGGUGGUUAAUAGUAGGUGGUUGAUUGAGUUUACCACAACAAAUCUCCUCUUUAAACUCAUUCAAGGGAUGUCAUACCAAGCAUGAACUUUAGUCUGAUAAAUAUUUCUCCCUUCAAUGGCUUUGUAAAAAUAUCUGCAACUUGAUCAUUUGUUUUGCAGGAUAUCGGUUUAACUUCUUUGUUCUUCACAUGCUCUCGGAUAAAAUGAUGAUGUGUCUCGAUGUGUUUACUUCUUUCAUGAUACACUAGAUUUUUGGCUAAUGCAAUUGCUGAUUGAUUAUCAAUAUAUAUCUUUGUAGGACUUUCUUGAGAAAAUCCCAAAAACUUCAGCAUAUUCCAUAACCAUAUUAAAUGGCAUACAACUAAGUUGGCAGCAACAUACUCAACUUCACAGCUUGAUAACAUUACUAUCGAUUGCUUCUUGGAUGACCAUGUGAAAGAUGUAUCUCCCAUGAAAAAGACAAAUCCAGUUGUGCUUUUCCUUUCAUCCAGAUCUCUACCCCAAUCAAUAUCCGAGUAGUCAACAAGAUUGAAAUUUUUACUUGAGGUAUAAAAUAUACCUUCAUUUAUUGUUCCUUUGAUGCAGCGAAGAAUUGUCUUGGCUGCAUUCAAAUGAGACUGGUCUGGUGUCUCCAUGUAUCUGCUGACGAGUCCGACUCCGUAGAGUAUAUCCGGUCUGGUACAUGUCAAGUACCUUAAGCUUCCUACUAAGCUUUUGAAGUAAGUUGGAUCAACAUUUCCAACCUUACUCUUCCUCAAUUCCACUCCAUUCUCAACUGGAGUUGAUACCGGAUUGCAGCUUUCCAUCUUGAACCUUUCAAGAAUAUCUUUGGCGUAACCGCUUUGGGAUACAAAAAUCCCUUCUUCCUUCUGCGUUACUUCCAAGCCAAGAAAAUGUGACAUUAGACCAAUGUCAGUCAUUUCAAACUCCUGUACCAUGCUUCGUUUGAAGUCGUCAAACAUGGUAGGGUUGUUGCCAGUGAAUAUCAAAUCAUCAACAUACAGGCACACAAAUAAGAUGCUGCCAUCUGCUCCUUUCUUCACAUAUAUAGCGUGUUCAUAUGGACAUUUCUCAAAUCCAUUAUCUUGAAAAUACCUGUCAAUUCUGGUAUUCCAAGCACGCGGAGCUUGCUUCAAACCAUAGAGAGCCUUCUUCAACUUGUAUACUUUGCCUUCAUUUUCAGCAUCAAUGUAUCCAAGUGGUUGUUCAACAUAGAUCUCUUCUUCUAGGAAGCCAUUCAGAAAUGCUGACUUCACAUCGAGUUGAUAGAUCUUCCAUCUAUGUUGUGCAGCUAGUGAGAUCAUCAGUCUGAUUGUCUCUAGCCGGGCUACUGGAGCAAAUACUUCUCCAUAGUCAAUGCCUUCUCUCUGUUUGUAGCCUUUAGCCACUAAUCUGGCUUUGUAUCUUUGCACUUCUCCUUUGGCAUUCUUCUUCGUCUUGUAGACCCAUUUGACACCUAUUGCUUUCUUUUUCUGGUAGAUAAGUCAGCUUCCAGGUAUCAUUCUUCUCAAUGGCAUGUAUUUCUUCAUCCAUUGCUUUAUCUUCUUUUCUUUCUGUGAUAGCUUCAUUGAAGCUUAAUGGGUCACUAUCUGCAAAGAAACAAAAACAGAGUUGUAUCUUCCAUGACUGAGUGGCAUCGUACAACUCUUCAAGAUUCAUCCUUCUUGGUCCUUCUGAUGAGGAUGCUGAUGUGGUUUGAUGAUGAUUCCUGGUGUGUUCCUCCUGUUGAAUACAGGGAAACUGUGUGCCGGACUUUGUGGUUCAGCUGCUGGCACAAUCGGUUCUUCGACAAGUAUGGUACUUCUUCACCUUCAAGGAUCAAAUCAUAUGAUCCAUUUGCUUGCUUCUUGAUCAUCAUUCCAUGCCCAAGAUUUAUCUUCUUCAAAGAUAACAUCUCUACUCGAUCACCUUCUUGUGAUGGGAUUAUACAGCCUGUAUCCCAUCCUUCUUUCACCAUAUCCGACAAAGAUGCAUUUCUCGCUUUAUCAUCGAGCUUUCUCCUUCUUGCAUCUGGGAUCUUUGCAUAUGCCACACAACCAAAGACUCGUAGAUGAGUAACACUUGGUUUGUGACCACUCCAUGCUUCUUCUGGAGUGACACUUGCAAACUUCUGGUUGGGCAGCGAUUCAGUAGAUACACUGCACAUGAUACAGCUUCAGCCCAGUAUUGCUUGGGCAGCUUUUUGCUUUGAGCAGACUUCUUGCCAUGUCAAGAAUCGUUCGAUUCUUUCUCUGCUACACCAUUCAGUUGUGGUGUAUAAGCUGGUGUGUCUGAUGUCUGAUGCCUUGUUGUGUACAAAAGGCUUCAAAGUCAUUUGCUGUAUAUUCUCCACCUUGAUCAGAUCUCACGGUUCUGAUCGUAUACCAGUUUGCUUCUCCACAAUUGCUUUAAAAUCUUUAAAACAAUUGAAUACUUCUGACUUUCUCUUCAAAAAGUAUAACUAUGUCUUUCUGCUAAAAUCAUCAAUGAAAGUAAGGAAAUACCUAUUUUGUCCAGUUGACAUAGGCUUUAUGGGACCACACACAUCUGUGUGCACUAACUCCAAUGGCUUAUUUGCUUUCUAGUUGACUUCUUUGGCAAAACUAGAUUUGUAAUGUUUAUUGAGGAUACAACUUUCACAGACUUCAUCUGGAUGAUCAAUAUGGGGUAUACCUUUGACCAUCUUCUUGCUUGCUAACAUCUUCAAACUUGUGAAAUUCAGAUGUCCAAGCCUUAGAUGCCAGAGCCACUCUUCAUUGUUGGUGAUGGCACUCAAACACUUUGCAGCAUCAUUGGAUGUUUAAAAGAAACAUCAUAUUCUUAGACAUCUUUAUAUAGGCAAUUAAUCUCCCAUUGUAAUCUUUGACUAUUAUAUGACAAUUCUUCGUGUAAAGAGUAUAGCCUUUCUUCAUAAGUUGACAUAUACUUAGCAUGUUGUGCUUUAUGGCUGGAACAUAGUAAACAUCUGCGAUGUAGCUAUGAUCACCAUUCUUUAACUUGAUUGGGAUGUUGCCUUUACCUUUUACUGGAACUUUUAAGGUAUCUCUAAAUGUGACUAUACCUUGUAUGGUCUCAUCUAGAUCACCAAAUAGAUCCCAUUGGCCACACAUGUGAUUGUUGGCUCCAAAAUCUAGAUACCAGAUAUUCUCAUGAUUCUUACCUAGUCCUUUUUGGACUAAUAAUGCAGUUGGUCCUCUGAUGAUGACAUCCUCCUCUGCAUAGUUGGCUUGUUCACGUACCUCUAAUGGAGCUUUUCUUCGACAUUUAGUGCUAUAGUGGCCAAAUUGAUUACAACUAUAACACUGGAUAUUUCUCUUGUCACGGUUAUUGUAAUCGCCUCCUCUUCCUCUAAGAGUAAAUGUUGGUUGUCUCCGGCCUCCUCUGAUGGUGUUUCUACCUCCUCUUCCUCUGAAUCCUGUAUUCCAAGAUCCUCUUUCUUGAAAUUGCUGAAAUCAUCUUCGUCUUUGUUGACUCCUUCCUGGAGUGGUAUAUCCACUCGUUGAAGUCUCCCUGCCUUCCUUGAGAUACAACUUUGAUUGUAAGGCAUGCUCAAUUGCCUUAUCUCCAUUUCUUUUCACAAUCUUUUGCUCAUGAGCUUGCAAAGAACUCAUAAGCUCAUUCACUGUCAACUUGUCCACUUCUUUGGAUUCUUCAAUAGCAACAAUAAUAAAAUCAAAUUUUGGAUCUAGGGAUCUCAAAAUUUUCUCAGUAAUUCGAGCAUCUGAGAGAACUUCUCCAUUUCUUCUCAUCUGAUUGACUAUCACCAUAAUUCUUGUGUGAUAAUCAGAAAUGUAUUCUGAUGACUUCAUUUAGACUAAUUCAAAUUUACCUCGCAAAGAUUGAAGACGAAUCUUCUUGAUUCUGUAAGCACCUUUGUAAUUUUGUUGAAGAGCCUCCCAUAUUUGUUUUGAUGUUUCUGCGGAAGCUAUGAUCUCAAAUGUGGCUUCAUCAAGACCUUGAUAAAUGAUAGUCUUUGCUUUGUUGUCUUUCUUUCUAUUGGCUCUCAGGACUUGUUUUUUUGCCUCUUGUAAUGAAUAUUCUACUUCUUUGAACUCUUGUGAACCAAGAAAUGCCUUCAAUCUGAUACACCAAUUAUCAUAGUUGUCUUUGGUUAGCUUCGAGAUGAGUGUUUGUGCAUUUUCUGUAGUUAUUUUGCUCUUUAAAUAACUAUAUCACCUCUGUGAGUUGAAUUUGGCAAAACAGACACUAUAGAUCGAUCCGGAAUGCUCAAAACAGUAAGGAACCGGUCUUACUUGGUUGAAAAUGGGGCAGAAAUGAGCUGAACCGGUCAGAAAACUAAUUUUGGGCGUCAGGCGGUUCGCUGGGGUUGAACCGGGAAUAUUCUCGAGAAUAUUCUUCAGCUCGGCUAGUGGUUGGAGGUUGGCUCGGCCUGGUCUCGGCUUAGGAUCGUCUUAGGCGGCUCGGCGCAGCUCAAAUAUGGCGCGCGUGUGGCUCAAUCGUCUUCUUCCUUUGGGCGCAUCGGCUGCAAGUGGGCUACAAUACCAGAGUUUCAUGCGGCUUGUGUGGGCUACCGCGGGCUCUGAUGAAGCUGAUUUUUACACCAGUGAGUUCGUAUGGAUGAACUAUACACUGAGGAGUGAUCAAAAUUUGUUUUUGACAACUUUGAAAAUUCGUGUGUAUCCCAAAAAUCUUCUAUUUUCUGACGAACGAGGCUCUGAUAUCAAUUUUUUAUGGGAAAAACCACUGGUGGUGGCUUUGGAACACUUAGAAGGGGAUAAAACACAAGGUUUUAUUUCAAAACAACAAGCUUACAAAAUACAAACAAAACACUCUUAAUACACACCCUCUCUUUCUCUCUUCUCUUUCCCACACAUAAUAACAUAAACUUAACAGCUUAUUUAUACAUAAAUUGAGAGGCAGCAGGUGGUGGUGGUGGUGGUUGAUAGUAGGUGGCUGCAGGUGGUGGUGGUGGUGGUUGAUAGUAGGUGGUUAAUUGAGUUUACCACAACAGUUAUUAGACGAUACCCACGUGAAUAAGUGAGAAUGAGAAAAGAAAGAAAGAAAUAGAAAGAAAUUGAGAAAUAGUACUAAAUUACAUGGUCGUGCUCGUGCUCUCCAAAUUAUGAGCAUUCUUCAGUUAAUGCAUAAGAUUUGCUAAAACUCUGAUUAUUCAAUGUUAAUUCGGGGACAGAAGCUGCAUUUAGUUUGUGAACAGUUUGUCACCAAAUAAUAUGGCUAUUAAGCUGAUAAUAUGGCUGUUAGGCUGAUUUAGCAGUAACCAGUUGGAUGGUUUUCCACCUACUUCUGCUUAAUUUGUUUCCUUUGUCCAGGAAUCUCCUCUAGUGUUAGGUGCUACUGUGGCUGCCGCUGCCUGGAGUGGUAGAUUUUUAAUCGGAGCAUGGCAAGCAUUCAAAGCUCGCCCUGUAGUUCCGCGUGUUCAAAGAUUUUAUAAAGGUGGGUUCGGGCAGAAGAUGACAAGGAGAGAAGCAGCUUUAAUUCUUGGAGUGAGGUAAACAGUUCGUAUCCAAGUCUGAUAUUUAUUUUUAAUUGGAUGUGUUCUGGGGUUACUAUAAAACUUGUCACACAUUCCCAAUUCAUAUUUACCGGAUUCGGUAUACAAUAGCAUUUACAAAUUUAUCAUGGAAGAAGGACCAUGGGUUUUGUGGGAUAUCUGAAGUUCGAGUUGGUUUAGCCUGGAUAAUCGGUGUUACAAAUUUAUCAUACUAAUUCAAGUUAAUCAAAACUGAUUUUUUAUAUUCUUUUCUAACCCUAUUUUAUAGGUAAGUGAUGAUCUCAUUUUGGGAAGUAUACCUGUGAGAAAACAUGAACAGAUUGGAGUAAUGUGCUAACACGCCUGAACAAUGGAUAAGUCUUUUCAUAUAAAACUUGAUGUUUUGGACUCCUGGGUUCUUAAUUUUGGUGAUGGGAGAUUGUGUGUGAAUUCAACCAAUGCCCGAGCAGAGAGAAAGAGGGACUAGGAACAGGUGUGGGAUGAAGUGGGUGAUCCUAGUAAGCUGGAAUGCUUGUGGUAGUUAAGGAUGGGAGUACAUAUAUAGUGUGAUAUGUGUGAAACGUUGUCCAAUGAAAGACAAGAUACGAGUGGGGUGAGGUUUCGAAAAGGGAAGUAGUCAAGGAAUGUUGAUGGGUGUGAUUUUCAAGGAAGAGAUUUUUUGUGAAAUGUAGCAAUGUUGAGUUAGAGGGAUGAAUUGAGGGUAAAAAGAAUCGCUCCCUGUUGCAUAUGUUUCAUACCAUUAAUAUGUACUUCUCCUACUCCCAUUCUUUUUCCUAGUUCAUCAUUCUUUUAAUUCUUACAUUGCUUGUACACAAAAUAUAUAAAUAUAUAAAUUCACUCGAAUAUUUUCUCAAAGACAAAUUUAUUUUGUAUUUUUUAUCUAUGUUUCUUUAAUUAAAUAUAUUUUGUCUCUUUUGUAUAUAUCAUUUACAUCCUGAGACACUAACCAAAUGCAACCUUAAAGAGUUCUUAUUUUUACAGCAACCCUAAAGAGUUCUUAUUUUUAGAACGCCUCAAUUCUACUUUUAACAUUUUGAGAGGUGUAUCUAAGGACUUUUAUCUCAAAAUGAAAGCUAGUUCUUUUUACAUAUUUAAUUUUGCCAGGUCAUAUUCCUGAUGCUUUUCACAUCAUGUUGCUUUUCAAUAAUCAUUUUCACUGUUGCUUUUCAAUGAUGAUUUUCACUUGUUUGAACCUAAAGUUAAAACUUAUGUUUUUGUCCCCUCAUCACCCUGCCAGGUGGCGUUUCUUAGUCUGAUUCUAUCCAAGGUUGGAAUAACGUCCUACUGAUGUGCAGGUGGGCCACAUUUUGAUGAUUACUUUUAAGCCAAUCAAUAAGCAAGCUGAGAUUAUAAUGAAGAACACAACUUGAAGGAGAGGAGAAUUCAAUGAAGGAUAUGAUGAAGGCUAUGCAAACACGGGCCUUGCUUGAGAAAUAUGAAGCAGAAAGAAAAGCAAAUGUGAACGAUGCAGAUGCAAAUCAAAGAAAUUCACACGUUGUCUUCAUUUUCAUGGAAAUUUUUUACGUUCAAGUACAUCACGAAAAAUAUUUUUUUUUAUCUAUUAUAUGCUAACCACCUAUAUAUAUAUAUAUAUAUAUAUGUUAAAAGAUACAAGAACAUCUAAACCCUCGAGUUUGAAGAAUGGUUUGAUUGAAAGCUCGUGCUAUGCUUCAGACAUUUCUGCCGAUAUCUCCAGGCAACUUGAAUGAGGGUAGCAGCACGGGCUCUCCAGUAUGGAGAUUGAUACCUGUCUCAGACAAAAGAAAAACAAAGUCUAAAUGAACAGCAGAAACCACUUGAUGUUUUAAAAGUUCAUUUCGCAAUCAUUGUUUUAAAAACAAUUCCAUCCCCCUUGAAGUCUUAACUCAAAGCAAAAUCAUAUUUAUUCAAUUUUCUACUUGAAGCAAAUCUUUGAUUAUAACACAAAAUUCAUGCACGACAAGCUAGAAGCAUACUAAAACUCACCCUUCAGAAUCUUCAAAAUCUACUUAAAGCAAAGACCAUGUAUCUUUACUGGAACGUUUCACUUUUCCAUGUAGCAUGUUCAGCUCUAUCUUUAUUCUCAAAUCACAACUUCAAUGGAAGUUAAAAGCACCACCACAGGUUGCUUAAAUAGCAGUGACUUAGCUACAAUCCUUGCAUGAGGCUUGUCGUGCUGGCGACUACAAGAUUAAAGUUGUCUUGACAGGUAGCUUUAGAAUCUAGACUCUAAUGAUGUUGGAACUUUAGAACCUUGGCUGAUAAGUUAAUCUGACAGUGAUCAUAGCAUGAAGAUACAUGAUCAAGGUUGUGAUUGUAGAACCAUAACACCUUCACUGAAAGUUGAAGCCAGUACCAUAAGCACUUUCCCUGCUUUAAUUUCGUGUUUAUUCUAUGAUGUUUGAUUGACUCUUCUUUACAUGGAAAGGCGGCCUAUUUAUUUCAUUCAUGUUCAUAUAUCUUUAAACUACACUCCCUCUUACAAAAGAAGUGUUUACAAAACCUAAACAUCAGACAAAUUACAAAAAAUACUAAAAGGGAUGAGACUUUUAUUAUGGCUUUAGAUACAAAAUACCGUGAAUUAGAAUAGUGUAGAUACGUUUACCCUUGCUGAAAAAAUUGAGCCUGUAAUUAGAGUACAAUUAUCUUUUCCGGUGACACAUUUGUCAUUGCAAAAUUGAUUGGGAACAAUAAUCUGGACAUGUUUUUUUAUUAUAGUGUAAUGAUUAUUUUGCCAUUAAAAACAAAAAAAAAAUUAAACUUUAGGGGAGGGCUUUUUUUUUUUUUAAAGUAAACAGUUAAUUUAUGGUCACACCCUUUAGAGAGAGAAAAAAUUAACUUGAACAAAGGAGCUUCUUUUUUUUAAAACAGUGAAAUGAAAAAUUUAUGACACUCUCAAACACCCUUUAAUUCAUGGGGAUCAAGGAUUAUUAUUUUUUAGUUCUUUUUCUAUGUUGAGUUGUAUACAAUUUUUUCGUUCUUUAAAACACAAUGACAAUGCUUAAGCAUCACUUUUUUACGCUGCUAAAAAUUUUAACUCGGCCCGCAGCAAAGCGCGGACUAUCUAUCUACUACAAAAUUAAAUAACAUGGAUAUUUUACUAUAGCACUAUAACCCAAUCCAUAGUAAAAUGUGUCUUGAGCUACAGUAAAAUUACCUUUGUUCCAAGAUAAUUAAGCAUUUUGGAUUGGGGUGUUGAUCAAAGCUUUUUUUACUUUGUAUAAUUACUCUAGAGUCCAUAAAUUAUUGUGCUAUUGGAUAAGGGUGUUUUGGGUUUUUAAAUUUUAAUGUAUAGUACAAUUACAUCUUUAACUUUAGAAAAGAUAAAAUAUAAGCUUAACAAUUAGGGGUAUUUUUGUACUUUUAUGGAUAUUUUAUGUAAUUGCCAAGGUUAGGAGGCAUUUUGAUAUUUUUUAUAUUUUUUUAAUUUUUUAAUGCUUAAAGUUGUUAAAGCGUGCUCAGUAUGCCCUAACACGUGACGUGAGUGGCAUCUGUGUCAUUCAGACGAUGUGUGUGACGCCACCCGAUGGAUGUUUCCCCAUCUUCCAAGAUGAGCCACCAAAUCCUUUUUAAUUUGAAGUGGAGUGUGGCAUCAUACGGUGGUUUGAUUGUUGUUAGUGGUCAUUUGAUUGUCGUUUUCCUUCUUUUCUCUCUCUUAACAUGUAAUGUACACAAUUUUCUUCUUUGAGAUUUACUUUUCAAUUUCAGCUCUUAUUCUAUUAAUUUCUUAUAUCGUUCCUUUUCUAUUUAUAAAAGUAUUUAUUCUUUUCAAUUUAGUCAUUCAAUUGCAAUUUCUUAUAUGUUUGGUUUUUCAUUUCGGUCUUUAUUUUUUUAAAAUUUCUAAUUUUAUCUUGGCACUUUUGUUGAAGUUUUUUUUUUUCUUUCAAUUUCAUCCUUCAAUCAAUUUAUCUGUUGUUUUAUUUUGUUUUCAAUUUGACCCUUUAUCUUUUUCUUUUUUUUUUCUUUUAUUAAAGCUAUUUUUAAAUUCAAUUAAACUGUCCAAUCCCUCUAAUUAUUGUUUUUUCUCACCCUUUUUUUUCAAUCCUUUUAUGUAAUUAAUUUUUUUUCUUUCUUUCAUUUUUCAACAUUGAAUUUAUUAGAAAUUCAGCUUUAUACAAUCUUAUUAUUCUAUAUAUUUUUUUAAUAUUAAUUUUGUGAUUAUUUUUAAGUUUUUUUCUAUGAAUUUAUCCCGAUCUUAUGACUUAGGUUACAAUUUUUGUAUGCCUUUUUUUAAUAUAAGCUUUUUUUAGUUUUGUUUCUAUUUCAUUUUUCGAGGUAUUAUUCUAAUUCAUCUAUAAUUGUUUGUAUACAAAUUAAGUUUAUUUUUAAAAUAAAAAAAUAUUUAUUUUUAAAUUAUAUUGUUAAAGUGUUCAGCCUUGUGUAAUAUUUUUAUAGUAUUUGUUUAUUCAGUCAGUUUCAUAUGUGUUUAUCUUUUAAGUCAUAGGUUUUUUAGGGUGUAGAUUUAUCUUUUGUUUAUUUAAGUAAAUAAAUUUAGAAAACACAAUUUGAUACAUAUCUCAUUUUAUGUUAUGAAAUAUUUUGAUCAUACUUGCAUGGGCUUUUCAAUUUACACUUUGAAUUUUUUAUGUAAAAAAACACAUUGAAACAACUUACAUACCUGGUAUUUUUAAAAAAACAAAAUUAUAACACACGGCAAAGCGCCGGUUAAAUGGCUAGUCAAACUCUAAAAUAACUUCCUUUACUCAUUCUUUGUUUCUAAGUUUGUACACCAAUGCAUACUAGCAUGAAAUUUUCUCCAAUAAAUGCAUUUUUGUCAUAGAGCAUCUCUAAGAUAAGCUUAUCUACAUACUCCAAAAUAAAAAAUAAAAAUAAAUAAUAAAGGAAAAAGAAGAUAUUAUCUUUCAAGAGCAUGCAUAAGCCUCAAAGAUAUUAUAAUCAACAUGGAUGCAGUGCUUUCCUUGUAACAAACUCAAGCUGCUAAACUUAUUAAACAUGUAUGCAAAAAAUAUAUGUAUAGGCAUCGAAAUAACCUUAUGGCUCCUUGGACGAGUGGAUUGCGCAAGUUUCUUGCAAAAAUGCUAGUGACUUCUUCAAGGUCUGCAGCACUGAGUGAAAAUGCUUCUACAUUUGUUAGGCACCUUACUGUCCUGCUACUAAUCAAACGUUGUCCAGGAGUCUUGAUUCUUCUUCCAUCUGUGGUAAGAACCAAAAGUCCAUGCUCAUGCUCUAAUGGUGUUUACAGACACCAACUAUCGGGAGUUUGGCUUCCGAAUAACUUAAAAUGGUCUAUAAAGAACUAAAAUGAAAUCCAAUUUACUCUUAAGAAUCAUGAUAUACCUUUGGACACUGAGCUAUGCUCCAAGAAACCAUGUGAGAAGUUCCUCACCACAAACAUUCCCUUCGCACAAGGCUACUACAGUGCCAUCAUGACCGAUGCUUCUAAUUCUUUUCCUCGCACAAUAAAAACCAUCUUCUCAACCAGUCCACCAACAUAAAAAAUCUCACUUCCCUUGAUGUAAAUUUUUUGUUUUAAUUUCUCACGGACAGCAUCUAAGACAUGGUCAUCCAUCAGGUUAAAAUCCAAACCUACACAAUUUGCAGAUAAAUGCAUAGCAGGUUAGUCCAAAGUUUAUGAUUAUGAAAUCAAAAGGUAUAUUUAUAAAAAAAAAAAAAACCAAAAUUUGUCUUGCUCUUUUUUGGAGAUGAAUUAUCGAGUUUGAUUGCAACCCUCAGCUAAAUUAACUUAACAUGUUAUCAGUACUAAGGAUCAAAUGGAGUCCAUGAGUAUGAAGUGCAUAUCAAAUCAAUUUUAUUGGUUUGGAAAGUUUUAUAUCUUACUUUCUUGACAAGUUCGAAGAGAUGCCUUCUUAUAUCCCUUGAAGGUCUUCCGGCAAAUUCUCCAUAAGCAUUCCCUCAUUUACACCUCUAGUAGCAGCCCAAUGAUAUCGUUCAGCUUCUAACACUCUCCUACAUGACAACAAUUUUAUAAGUUAUGAGAUCCAUAUAACAUAUGCCAAAGAAUGUGACCAUACAAAGAAGUAAAUUCUUACAAGUGCACAAGAAAAAUACGAGGAAUAUUAUAAAUGGAAAUGCAAAGAAACAAUAAAAGGGUAUAGCAAUAGGCAUGACAUAAAUGAAAUAAUAUUUGCUUUGACACAGCAAGAUGGUCCAGAAGGAAAAAUAUCUGAAUGAAGUGUGUGUAUGCGCGCAAGGUUUGAUGGAGAUAACAAGGGUUUAUUCAUUUAAGUAUGCAAUUGUUUCACUUAUUGCACACUCCAACCAUAAAGCCUCGAAAGUGUAUGGAAUUUCAUUACAUUUCAUUACAAAAUCCAUCAUGUCAAGAAAUAUAUGAUUGAAGUGUGUAUAUGCAUGCGUGUGUGUGUGAUGGGAAGAGAGGAGUUUACCCAAAAAAACGGUAGAAACAGAGAGAGAUGAGAAGUCAAAAGAAUAAACAACAGACCUUUUUAGUUCUUGUGGCAAUCGUCGAUGUCUCAUCCACUGCUCAACAUCACGUUGUCUUAAUGACAUUUCUGAUCUCCUAGAAGGUAGAACAGUGAACAAUUAAUAAAUAAUGAUUAGUCAAGUAGAUGGCAUUCUAAUCUACUUGUAAAUACCAAACUAGGAAUAGAAAAAUAAUUGGCGAAUACGAAUUGCAUCAUAAUCCCACCACAUCAAAAUUGGCAUAGAGGUUUUUUAAAUUUUCUUCUCAAGAUGUGAAUAAUAUAGACAUCUAUCUCAUUUGUCACCCAUCAUUUUUAUCUUUGAAAUUUAAAUUAAAAACAGUGUAUUCUAGUAAUGAUGAACUUGUAAGAACAACAACAAUUUAACAGCAGUAGCAGAUGACAUGGACAGGAAGAAAUAAAGAAGAAUACCAGAAGAAAGAAAUUGACAGGAAAAGCUUUUAUAGCUAAAUAGUAUAGGCAAGCUUUUAACGCGUCAAAAUAAAGUUGUAACAGAGUUAGUUGGAAAUCAAUUAGUUUGUUAAAGAAUCGUUACAAAUAAGCGCAAUGCUGUAAAUGAAGGAUCAUCUUGGAAAAUGAAUACAAUUUCUGCAUUACAAAACUUCUCUAUUGAGAGUUGGUGUUCAUUAGUGAAGUUAUUUUGGUACUAGAUAAUAAUCCUACCUCUGGUUAUUUUGAAAGAAACCAUCAUUAUAUAAAGAGUAUAUAAAAUUUGGGAGAGAUAGUGAUGAAAAAUAUCUUUAAAUUUGAAUGCAGGAUAGUCACUACUUCGUCAAGCACAGCAUACAAAUUUCUUCCUCGAUAAUUUAACAUACACACUCUAGCCUAGGCCAUACAUGCUUUCAAAUAAGAACAUUAUUGAAAUGGAUGCACAAUAAUAACGUUUUCACCAGCAAACAUUCAAAAAAAAAAGAAUGGGAAAAAAAACAAAAAUCAAGUCAUUAUGAACAACUAAAGGUGUUUGGGUGAUGUUUGAGAGGAUAAAUUUUAUAAUUAUACCUCCGACCAAGAGAUUGGAGAAAGUUCUGCAUGUUUCCUAUGAGAAAAGCAAAAAGCAAGAGGCCAAGUCCAAUGAUUGCCAUGGUAAAGAGGACUUCCCAAACAAAAUAGCUCGGUACUUGGUUUCCAGCAAGAGUACUGAUUUGCUUCACAAAAUUAAAAAUAUAAUAUUAGGUCAACCAAAAAACAGUUUAAUUUGCACUAAUAUUGACACAAUUCUAAGAUCAAAUAGGUGUGUUACAUGAAAUGAAAAAGUUAUUGAGAAGUAGCCCAAAAAAUCAAAGGUUUCAAGAUAGUAAAGAUUAAAAUAAACCUAGUUUUGUAAACUUAAGCAACACCAUCAAAUGAAAAGGGAGGUGUUAUUAGCUUAGGUUAAAGAAGUGCAUCAAAAGUGAUUGAUUACACCCAUGGUUUCCACAAGCUAACCCGCACUCCAUCAUAGGCCUAAUAUUUUUUUCUUAAUAAAAAAAUUGAAUACGUGUUAUUUUUAAUUUAAAAAAAAUAUAUAUCGAUGAUGAAAUCUAAAAAUAAUAUAAGACCAAAAAAGAUAUCGACCCGGGUGAACUUUUCAAACACGAACCCGACUCACUAGACCAGAAGCACUAUACACGAAAAAACCAAGAAGCUCAAUCCCCAACAAAUCAAACAAUAAAGGAUGAAAUCAAGAAAAAAAUCGAUUAUAAAGAUCUAAAAUAAUAUAUAUAUAUAUAUAUAUAUAGUAAUUAAAAAAAUAGGGUAAAAAUAAAAAUAAAUUAGAAGGCAACUAUAAAUUUUUUAUUAGAGGGUUAAAUUAAAAAGAAAAAAUAACUUUGAAAAAAAUGAACCAUACUAAAAGAGUAAUAUACUAUAAACUUUGAUUAAAUGAUGAAAUUAAAAACGAAUAAAACUUUUACUAAAGGAACAAGAAAAAAUAGAAAUAAAAAGAAUAAAGACCAUGUUGAAAAAAAAUAUACGACAAAUUGAAAUUUAAAAACUACAUUGACAACAAAUGAAAAUUUUACAAAAGAAUUAAGAAAAGAAUUAAAGAAUAGGUACUAGAAUUAAAAUAUCAAUAACAAUGAGGAUCAAUUUGUAAUUUUCAGGGGAUGAGUGAGAAAAGAAAGGGGAAACCUCAUCGACGACCAAGCAUCGCUAACACGAAAUGCACUAAAAGAAAGAGAACAUGGCGGCGUAUCCAACGACAUGGCAGAAGGGCAAGCAUUUUUUACUACCAGGAGGCAUUACACGUGCCGCCCAAAGAGCUCGAGCGCCUCCCACACACUAGCGUGUGAACAACACGUGCCAACAACUUUUUUGAAUUUAAAAUUAUUUAAUCAUCUUAAAAUAUAUCAAAUUGUACUCCAUGGUUCUGGAAUGAACAAAAUUAGUACGUGAAAAGACUAAAAAUCCCCUAGACUAACGGGUAAAGAUAUUUUUUUACUUUAUUUAAAAAACAAUAAAAAGAGUUAAAUAUCAUUGGUCAAUAGUACAUUUUUUUAGGCUAAAAGGUCAUUUUACUAUUACUAAAAAAGAGAAAAAGUCACUUAUACCAUCGGUCAAAUCUGUAAUGAUUAAUGAACCAUGUAAAAAGAUUACAUUAAGCCUUUGGUUUUUUCUUUAAAGAGAUAAAAAGUCUAUCGUGGUUUAAAGUUUUUGUUAAUUAUAAAAAAGAUGGAAAAUUAUGAUUAGAUGAAGUAUUUAAGUGGAAAGCUUAUAUUACUUGCUAUGGAGAGAAUUUCCAAUUACAUAAUAAAAGCUUAGAAAAAAGAAAAAAAAAAAUGAUGCAAGAUAGCAUUACUCACAUACCAGGAAUCCCCAAAACAAUGAAUAUAUGUAUCUGGUGAUGAUGUUUUCUCCGGUGAGGUUGACUGCUUUGACAUAGAUUCCAUAAUCAAAACCAUUUGGCGGACCACCCGUUUGAAAACAAUUACUUGCAUUGGGAUUCUGUGUCCAGAUAGCCCAGUUUGGAAGAGACCCAUAUUUUUCAUUAGCAUCCCCGCGUCCACAAUCAAUAAAUUUCAUGCACUCAUCUUGAAAACCAGUAUCAUGGCAGGCAUCACGGAGACAUUGAUUAACCCUCUGUUAAAAGAGUGGUAUAGUCAUUUGAAUACUAUCACUAACGCAUCAAAAUACAGAACUAGUUUCGGAUUUCACUCAAUUAGCCAAAAGGAGAAAGAAAGCAAUAUUUCGAGAGAAAAAAAUGAUCCAUGCAUGAUAAUGUGACAAGAAAAGGAAAUGUUAUGCCAGUAAACCAAAAUAUUCCUUUCAAUCUACCAUUGCUUCAGAGGUUAAGAACUAGAGAUUGAAUAUCAUGAGGAGAUCGAGGGUGAGAACUCAUGGAAAAAAUAUAUAUGCAUCUCUGGAUACUAGAGAUCCAGAAUAGUAAUAGAGUUCAUAAUAGCUUAUGGAUAUUCAAAGGUUAAGAAAAUGUUUGAGAAAUAAAGCUCAACACACUCACCUGCAACCCUAAGAGAUACCAACAUGAACCAACGAUGUGACCAGAUAGUAUAAAGGUGAAAAGAUUUAUAAAGAAGUUUGCCAAUGCUGUCUCAAAUAUGAAGCCACUUGGAGACUGACCAAUAAGAAGAGGAAUAAACCUCCACAGCCUUGGAAUGUACUGGACAAGAACAGCUGCCCGUAGAAGAUUUUUGGCAUUAUUUGCUCCAAAGUUUCCCAAUCCUUCUGGUAGGACUUUUAAUAUAAUGACCUGCACAUGAUUAUAAAGAAUAUGGUAUUAGAUUCCAGUGCUAAUUUAUUAGACAUAAUUUACUGAAUCUGAAAGAUUACAACAUAAAUUCCAUGGAAACCAUACAAGCAAUCACAUUAUUUCAUUUUCACAAUUCGCUUAGUUUUGCAAUUUAUUGUGAUUUAAUUUAUAACAACACCAAGGAUAGUCAGCUUCUUCAAAAGUGGUUAUCUAGACACUCUCCAAAUCUCAUUGUAGGAAAGAUAGAUGGCACCUACAUGUAUACGAUCAACGGUGAGAUUAGGAUAAUGUUCAUAGAGUCAAUCAUGAAGUGUUUAUCGUAGCAUUGCUCAUUAGAGGCUGCAGCAUUUGACACUUCACAUUCGUUAUCACUCCAACAUUUCCAUGUGCUUACCAAGUCUUCAUUUCAAAUUGACGACAUUAUUUAUCCUCACCAUAUUAGACAAUCAUACUCAGUGACGUGCUUUAUUUCAAAUUGAUGACAUUAUUUAUCAUCUCCAUAUUAGGCAGUCAUACUCAAUGACGUGCUUUAUUUCAAAUUGAUGACAUUAUUUAUCAUCUCCAUAUUAGGCAAUCAUACUCAGUGACGUGCUUCAUGGCCCUAAUACCCAAAGUUGUCCCUAUGGCCGUCAGAAUCCAAAUUCAUGUAAUGACAAGCAAUUAAUUUCCACAUUCUCAGCCAGGUUCAGAAGUUGAUGUUUAGAUGUUUGUUAUUUAAACAUAAAAAUAUAGAUACAAUAUGUUGUGUUGAAUCCUAAGUAAAAUUUAUAAUGUCAAUAGUUACCAUGUUAGAAAGAGAAUGAAUAACUAACCUGUGGGAGCGGUAAUACCACAAAUAAGUCAAUAAAAAACAUCCUUGGAGGUAGUGCUUAGCAAUUUUCUUGGGAUGGUCAACUAACUCUCCAGCACCAACCACUCUAGAUUCAGGAGCAACAUAAGCUAACCUAAACUGCAAAAAUAAAUGAGUAUUAAUGAAUCAAUACUUGCUAAGAAUAGUUUUCAUAUAUCAGUCAACUGGACUUUAAAAGAGCUUCAAGACAGAAGCAAUGAAUCCGACAAUCAUACUUUAAUAAUUAAAAAGCACAUAAACAAGCUCAUCAUUGUUUAUAGGAGUUAUUUUCAUCAUGGGCAUUUUAUAUGCCAUCACGGGCUUUUCACCUUUAAAUUUUAAUCUCACGUGUCAUAAAAAGUUCUAUGAUGCUAGAAAGAAAGUUUUUGGCUAAAAUUUCACAUGAUCUUUUUAGCUUUAACUAUGUCAAGUGGUGUGUUACUUUUGAGUGUGGGGUUGAAGUUACUACAAAGCCCAUCAUAAGUGAUCUCUAAGUUCUAAAUAAAAAGAUUGACAUCAGUACUAAUGGAGAUAACAUGUCUAAUAGCAGCUAGAAAGAAAGAAAGAAAGAAAAUCGGAUUAAUGUAAGCAGCUAGUGUACCUGAAGAAGUAUGUUCAGUAAGUAGAUGAGAUCAGUCAAGCUUCUAAACACCACAAUUGUUUUAGUCAUUGGCCAAUCAAUAACUAUGCAAUUGUUUUCCUGCAACCAAAAAUUAAAAUCUUGUAAUUCCAAAAAAAAUACAAGCUAAAGUAUGAAUUGUGUGGGGAAUAUCAUAUGAAAUGCCUAAAUAGUAAAGCUUGAAGUCAAAAACAGAUGAAGUAUAUUAGCAAUAACGGCAGUUUUUGAGUAAUUAUUAUGGCAAUUUUUUUCAAAUAAUUAUCUGUGGAAUCUAGAAGUUUUAUACAAUCCAAGUAAAAUCACGAACAGAUAAAGACCUCAUCAUGAACCCUCUUAGCAAUAGAAUAUCCAUGAUUAGAACACGGAAAAUUAAAAGCCCUAAAACUUAACAAAACUGCUUAAAAGUUGCUAAAAUCAUGGUUUUAGAGCUGUAUGUAACUGCAUGUUUUGUAUGUAACUACAUGAUCUGUGAACUGUACUAUUUAACGCCACUCUAGCUAUAAAUUAUGGAACUAUAAGCAAGUUAAACAUACUUGUUGCACCCAUAGUAGGAAGAAAAACAAGGGAUCAACAAAAAUUGCCACCAAGCACGAAAUGACAAAAAAUUUGUUCCACUUCUGAACCGCUUGAGCAUGAGGAUUCAUAACUCUAGGAAUAUAUAAGUUUAUAACAUCAUUGAAUCUCCUUGCCCAGCCUUUAGCAUCUCCAUAGAGAACACUACGAAACUGCAAGAAGCACAAAAAUAAGAAGCUGGUGAACACAUUGAGGCAGGUCCAUAAAAUUAUUAUAGUAUAUAAUAAUCAAGACAUGGGACAAUAUUAUAAAGUAAAGCUAUGAUCUAGUAAUGGUUCAACAGACUAUUUAUAAGCCAAUCACAGGAUACUAAAUAUUGUUUCCUACUUAUAGAAUUAGAAAGAUACACAAUUCUCCUGCACUUAGAAUGUANNNNNNNNNNNNNNNNNNNNNNNNNNNNNNNNNNNNNNNNNNNNNNNNNNNNNNNNNNNNNNNNNNNNNNNNNNNNNNNNNNNNNNNNNNNNNNNNNNNNNNNNNNNNNNNNNNNNNNNNNNNNNNNNNNNNNNNNNNNNNNNNNNNNNNNNNNNNNNNNNNNNNNNNNNNNNNNNNNNNNNNNNNNNNNNNNNNNNNNNNNNNNNNNNNNNNNNNNNNNNNNNNNNNNNNNNNNNNNNNNNNNNNNNNNNNNNNNNNNNNNNNNNNNNNNNNNNNNNNNNNNNNNNNNNNNNNNNNNNNNNNNNNNNNNNNNNNNNNNNNNNNNNNNNNNNNNNNNNNNNNNNNNNNNNNNNNNNNNNNNNNNNNNNNNNNNNNNNNNNNNNNNNNNNNNNNNNNNNNNNNNNNNNNNNNNNNNNNNNNNNNNNNNNNNNNNNNNNNNNNNNNNNNNNNNNNNNNNNNNNNNNNNNNNNNNNNNNNNNNNNNNNNNNNNNNNNNNNNNGUAGGUGGUUAAUUGAGUUACCACAACAGUUAUUAGACGAUACCCACGUGAAUAAGUGAGAAUGAGAAAAGAAAGAAAGAAAUAGAAAGAAAUUGAGAAAUAGUACUAAAUUACAUGGUCGUGCUCGUGCUCUCCAAAUUAUGAGCAUUCUUCAGUUAAUGCAUAAGAUUUGCUAAAACUCUGAUUAUUCAAUGUUAAUUCGGGGACAGAAGCUGCAUUUAGUUUGUGAACAGUUUGUCACCAAAUAAUAUGGCUAUUAAGCUGAUAAUAUGGCUGUUAGGCUGAUUUAGCAGUAACCAGUUGGAUGGUUUCCACCUACUUCUGCUUAAUUUGUUUCCUUUGUCCAGGAAUCUCCUCUAGUGUUAGGUGCUACUGUGGCUGCCGCUGCCUGGAGUGGUAGAUUUUUAAUCGGAGCAUGGCAAGCAUUCAAAGCUCGCCCUGUAGUUCCGCGUGUUCAAAGAUUUUAUAAAGGUGGGUUCGGGCAGAAGAUGACAAGGAGAGAAGCAGCUUUAAUUCUUGGAGUGAGGUAAACAGUUCGUAUCCAAGUCUGAUAUUUAUUUUUAAUUGGAUGUGUUCUGGGGUUACUAUAAAACUUGUCACACAUUCCCAAUUCAUAUUUACCGGAUUCGGUAUACAAUAGCAUUUACAAAUUUAUCAUGGAAGAAGGACCAUGGGUUUUGUGGGAUAUCUGAAGUUCGAGUUGGUUUAGCCUGGAUAAUCGGUGUUACAAAUUUAUCAUACUAAUUCAAGUUAAUCAAAACUGAUUUUUUAUAUUCUUUUCUAACCCUAUUUUAUAGGUAAGUGAUGAUCUCAUUUUGGGAAGUAUACCUGUGAGAAAAUGAACAGAUUGGGAGUAAUGUGCUAACACGCCUGAACAAUGGAUAAAGUCUUUUCAUAUAAAACUUGAUGUUUUGGACUCCUGGGUUCUUAAUUUUGGUGAUGGGAGAUUGUGUGUGAAUUCAACCAAUGCCCGAGCAGAGAGAAAGAGGGGACUAGGAACAGGUGUGGGAUGAAGUGGGUGAUCCUAGUAAGCUGGAAUGCUUGUGGUAGUUAAGGAUGGGAGUACAUAUAUAGUGUGAUAUGUGUGAAACGUUGUCCAAUGAAGACAAGAUACGAGUGGGUGAGGUUUCGAAAAGGGAAGUAGUCAAGGAAUGUUGAUGGGUGUGAUUUUCAAGGAAGAGAUUUUUUGUGAAAUGUAGCAAUGUUGAGUUAGAGGGAUGAAUUGAGGGUAAAAAGAAUCGCUCCCUGUUGCAUAUGUUCAUACCAUUAAUAUGUACUUCUCCUACUCCCAUUCUUUUUCCUAGUUCAUCAUUCUUUUAAUUCUUACAUUGCUUGUACACAAAAUAUGUAAAUAUAUAAAUUCACUCGAAUAUUUUCUCAAAGACAAAUUUAUUUUGUAUUUUUUAUCUAUGUUUCUUUAAUUAAAUAUAUUUUUAUCUCUUUUGUAUAUAUCAUUUACAUCCCGAGACACUAACCAAAUGCAACCCUAAAGAGUUCUUAUUUUUACAGCAACCCUAAAGAGUCCUUAUUUUUAGAACGCCUCAAUUCUACUUUUAACAUUUUGAGAGCUAUCUAUGGACUUUUAUCUCAAAAUGAAAGCUAGUUCUUUUUACAUAUUUAACUUUGCCAGGUCAUAUUCCUGAUGCUUUUCACAUCAUGUUGCUUUUCAAUAAUCAUUUCACUGUUGCUUUUCAAUGAUUUUCACUUGUUUGAACCUAAAGUUAAAACUUAUGUUUUUGUCCCCUCAUCACCCUGCCAGGUGGCGUUUCUUAGUCUGAUUCUAUCCAAGGUUGGAAUAACGUCCUACUGAUGUGCAGGUGGCCACAUUUGAUGAUUACUUUAAGCCAAUCAAUAAGCAAGCUGAGAUUAUAAUGAAGAACACAACUUGAAGGAGAGGAGAAUUCAAUGAAGGAUAUGAUGAAGGCUAUGCAAACACGGGCCUUGCUUGAGAAAUAUGAAGCAGAAAGAAAAGCAAAUGUGAACGAUGCAGAUGCAAAUCAAAGAAAUUCACACGUUGUCUUCAAUUUUCAUGGAAAUUUUUUACGUUCAAGUACAUCACGAAAAUAUUUUAUUUUAUUCUAUUAUAUGCUAACCACCUAUAUAUAUAUAUAUAUAUAUAUAUAUAUAUAUAUAUGUUAAAAGAUACAAGAACAUCUAAACCCUCGAGUUUGAAGAAUGGUUUGAUUGAAAGCUCGUGCUAUGCUUCAGACAUUUCUGCCGAUAUCUCCAGGCAACUUGAAUGAGGGUAGCAGCACGGGCUCUCCAGUAUGGAGAUUGAUACCUGUCUCAGACAAAAGCAAAACAAAGUCUAAAUGAACAGCAGAAACCACUUGAUGUUUUAAAAGUUCAUUUCGCAAUCAUUGUUUAAAACAAUUCCAUCCCCCUUGAAGUCUUAACUCAAAGCAAAAUCAUAUUUAUUCAAUUUUCUACUUGAAGCAAAUCUUUGAUUAUAACACAAAAUUCAUGCACGACAAGCUAGAAGCAUAUUAAAACUCACCCUUCAGAAUCUUCAAAAUCUACUUAAAGCAAAGACCAUGUAUCUUUAAUGGAACGUUUCACUUUUCCAUGUAGCAUGUUCAGCUCUAUCUUUAUUCUCAAAUCACAACUUCAAUGGAAGUUAAAAGCACCACCACAGGUUGCUUAAAUAGCAGUGACUUAGCUACAAUCCUUGCAUGAGGCUUGUCGUGCUGGCGACUACAAGAUUAAAGUUGUCUUGACAGGUAGCUUUAGAAUCUAGACUCUAAUGAUGUUGGAACUUUAGAACCUUGGCUGAUAAGUUAAUCUGACAGUGAUCAUAGCAUGAAGAUACAUGAUCAAGGUUGUGAUUGUAGAACCAUAACACCUUCACUGAAAGUUGAAGCCAGUACCAUAAGCACUUUCCCUGCUUUAAUUUCGUGUUUAUUCUAUGAUGUUUGAUUGACUCUUCUUUACAUGGAAAGGCGGCCUAUUUAUUUCAUUCAUGUUCAUAUAUCUUUAAACUACACUCCCUCUUACUAAAGAAGUGUUUACAAAACCUAAAUCAUCAGACAAAUUACAAAAAAUACUAAAAGGGAUGAGACUUUUAUUAUGGCUUUAGAUACAAAAUACCGUGAAUUAGAAUAGUGUAGAUACGUUUUACCCUUGCUGAAAAAACUGAGCCUGUAAUUAGAGGUACAAUUAUCUUUUCCAGGUGACACAUUCCUCAUUGCAAAAUUGAUUGGGAACAAUAAUCCGGACAUGUUUUUUUAUUAUAGUGUAAUGAUUAUUUUGCCAUUAAAAACAAAAAAAAAAAUUAAACUUUAGGUGAGGGGCUCAUUUGUCUUUUUUAAAGUAAACAGUUAAUUUAUGGUCACACCAUUUGGAGAGAGAAAAAAUUAACUUGAACAAAGGGGCUUCUUUUAUUUUUAAAACAGUGAAAUGACAAUUUAUGACACUCUCAAACACCCUUUUAUUCAUGGGGAUCAAGGAUUCUUAUUUUUUAGUUCUUUUUCUAUGAUGUUGAGUUGUAUACAAUUUUUUCAUUUUUUAAAACACAAUGACAACGCUUGAGCAUCACUUUUUUACGCUGCUAAAAAUUUUAACUCGGCCCGCAGCAAAGUGCAGACUAUCUAUCUACUACAAAAUUAAAUAACAUGGAUGUUUUACUAUAGCCCUAUAACCCAAUCCAUAGUAAAAUGUGUCUUGAGCUACAGUAAAAUUACCUUUAUUCCAAGAUAAUUAAGCAUUUUGGAUUGGGGUGUUGAUCAAGAGCUUUUUUUACUUUGUAUAAUUACUCUAGCGUCCAUAAAUUAUUGUGCUACUGGAUAAGGGUGUUUUGGGUUUUUAAAUUUUAAUGUAUAGUGCAAUUACAUCUUUAACCUUAGAAAAGAUAAAAUAUAAGUUUAACAAUUAGGGGUAUUUUUGUACUUUUAUGGAUAUUUUAUGUAAUUGCCUAGGUUAGGAGGUAUUUUGAUAUUUUUUAUAUUUUUUAAUGCUUAAAGUUGUUGGAGCAUGCUCAGUAUGCCCUAACACGUGACGUGAGUGGCAUCUGCAUCAUUCAGACGAUGUGUGUGACGCCACCCGGUGGAUGUUUCCCCAUCUCCCAAGAUAAGCCACCAAAUCCUUUUUAAUUUGAAGUGGAGCGUGGCAUCAUAUGGUGGUUUGAUUGUUGUUAGUGGUUAUUUGAUUGUCGUUUUUCUUUUUUUCUCUCUCUUAACAUGUAAUGUACACAAUUUUCUUCUUUGAUAUUUACUUUUCAAUUUCAGCUCUUAUUCUAUUAAUUUCUUAUAUCGUUCCUUUUCUAUUUAUAAAAGUAUUUAUUCUUUUCAAUUUAGUCAUUCAAUUGCAAUUUCUUAUAUGUUUGGUUUUUCAUUUUGGUCUUCAUUUUUUUAAAAUUUCUAAUUUUUUCCUUGGCACUUUUGUUGAAGUUUUUUUUUUUCUUUCAAUUUCAUCCUUCAAUCAAUUUAUCUGUUGUUUUAUUUAUUUUUCAAUUUGACCCUUUAUCUUUUUCUUUUUUUUUCUUUUAUUAAAGCUAUUUUUAAAUUCAAUUAAACUCUCCAAUCCCUCUAAUUAUUGUUUUUUCUCACCCUUUUUUUUUCAAUCCUUUUAUGUAAUUAAUUUUUUUUUCUUUCUUUCAUUUUUCAACAUUUAAUUUAUUAGAAAUUCAGCUUUAUACAAUCUUAUUAUUCUAUAUUUUUUUUAAUAUUAAUUUUGUGAUUAUUUUUAAGUUUUUUUCUAUGAAUUUAUCCCGAUCUUAUGACUUAGGUUACAAUUUUUGUAUGCCUUUUUUUAAUAUAAGCUUUUUUAGUUUUGUUUCUAUUUCAUUUUUCGAGGUAUUAUUCUAAUUCAUCUAUAAUUGUUUGUAUACAAAUUAAGUUUUUUUUUAAAAUAAAAAAUAUUUAUUUUUAAAUUAUAUUAUUGAAGUGUUCAGCCUUGUGUAAUAUUUUUAUAGUAUUUGUUUAUUCAGUCAGUUUCAUAUGUGUUUAUCUUUUAAGUCAUAGGUUUUUUAGGGUGUAGAUUUAUCUUUUAGUUUAUUUAAAUAAAUAAAUUUAGAAAACACAAUUGAUACAUAUCUCAUUUUAUGUUAUGAAAUAUUUUGAUCAUACUUGCAUGGGCUUUUCAAUUUACACUUUGAAUUUUUUAUGUAAAAAAACACAUUGAAACAACUUACAUACCUGGUAUUUUUUUAAAAAAAACAAAAUUAUAACACACGGCAAAGCGCCGGUUAAAUGGCUAGUCAAACUCUAAAAUAACUUCAUUUACUCAUUCUUUGUUUCUAAGUUUGUACACCAAUGCAUACUAGCAUGAAAUUUUCUCCAAUAAAUGCAUUUUUGUCAUAGAGCAUCUCUAAGAUAAGCUUAUCUACAUACUCCAAAAUAAAAAUAAAAUAAAUAAUAAAGGAAAAAAGAAGAUAUUAUCUUUCAAGAGCAUGCAUAAGCCUCAAAGAUAUUAUAAUCAACAUGGAUGCAGUGCUUUCCUUGUAACAAACUCAAGCUGCUAAACUUAUUAAACAUGUAUGCAAAAAAUAUAUGUAUAGGCAUCGAAAUAACCUUAUGGCUCCUUGGACGAGUGGAUUGCGCAAGUUUCUUGCAAAAAUGCUAGUGACUUCUUCAAGGUCUGCGGCACUGAGUGAAAAUGCUUCUACAUUUGUUAGGCACCUUACUGUCCUGCUACUAAUCAAACGAUGUCCAGGAGUCUUGAUUCUUCUUCCAUCUGUGGUAAGAACCAAAAUUCCAUGCUCAUGCUCUAAUGGUGUUUACAGACGCCAACUAUCGGGAGUUUGGCUUUCGAAUAACUUAAAAUGGUCUAUAAAGAACUAAAAUGAAAUCCAAUUUACUCUUAAGAAUCAUGAUAUACCUUUGGACACUGAGCUAUGCUCAAGAAACCAUGUGAGAAGUUCCUCACCACAAACAUUCCCUUCGCACAAGGCUACUACAGUGCCAUCAUGACCGAUGCUUUCCAAUUUUCCUCGCACAAUAAAAACCAUCUUCUCAACCAGUCCACCAACAUAAAAAAUCUCACUUCCCUUGAUGUAAAUUUUUUGUUUUAAUUUCUCACGGACAGCAUCUAAGACAUGGUCAUCCAUCAGGUUAAAAAUCCAAACCUACACAAUUUUGCAGAUAAAUGCAUAGCAGGUUAGUCCAAAGUUUAUGAUUAUGAAAUCAAAAGGUAUAUUUAGACAAAAAAAAAAAAACCAAAAUUCGUCUUGCUCUUUUUUGGAGAUGAAUUGUUGAGUUUGAUUGCAACCCUCAGCUAAAUUAACUCAACAUGUUAUCAGUACUAAGGAUCAAAUGGAGUCUAUGAGUAUGAAGUGCAUAUCAAAUCAAUUUUAUUGGUUUGGAAAGUUUUAUAUCUUACUUUCUUGACAAGUUCGAAGAGAUGCCUUCUUAUAUCCCUUUGAAGGUCUUCCGGCAAAUUCUCCAUAAGCAUUCCCUCAUUUACACCUCUAGUAGCAGCCCAAUGAUAUCGUUCAGCUUCUAACACUCUCCUACAUGACAACAAUUUUAUAAGUUACGAGAUCCAUAUAAUAUAUGCCAAAGAAUGCGACCAUACAAAGAAGUAAAUUCUUACAAGUGCACAAGAAAAAUACAAGGAAUAUUAUAAAUGGAAAUGAAAAGAAACAAUAAAAGGGUAUAGCAAUAGGCAUGACAUAAAUGAAAUAAUAUUUGCUUUGACACAGUAAGAUGGUCCAGGAGGAAAAAUAUCUGAAUGAAGUGUGUGUAUGCGCGCAAGGUUUGAUGGAGAUAACAAGGGUUUAUUCAUUUAAGUAUGCAACUGUUUCACUUAUUGCACACUCCAACCAUAAAGCCUCGAAAGUGUAUGGAAUUUCAUUACAUUUCAUUACAAAAUCCAUCAUGUCAAUAAAUAUAUGAUUGAAGUGUGUAUAUGCAUGCGUGUGUGUGUGAUGGGAAGAGAAGAGUUUACCCAAAUAAAAAGGGUAGAAACAGAGAGAGAUGAGAAGUCAAAAGAAUAAACAACAGACCUUUUUAGUUCUUGUGGCAAUCGCCGAUGUCUCAUCCACUGCUCAACAUCACGUUGUCUUAAUGACAUUUCUGAUCUCCUAGAAGGUAGAACAGUGAACAGUUAAUAAAUAAUGAUUAGUCAAGUAGAUGGCAUUCUAAUCUACUUGUAAAUACCAAACUAGGAAUAGAAAAAUAAUUGGCGAAUAUGAAUUGCAUCAUAAUCCCACCACAUCAAAAUUGGCAUAGAGGUUUUUUAAAUUUUCUUCUCAAGAUGUGAAUAAUAUAGACAUCUAUCUCAUUUGUCACCCAUCACUUUUGUCUUUGAAAUUUAAAUUAAAAACAGUGUAUUCUAGUAAUGAUGAACUUGUUAGAACAACAACAAUUUAACAGCAGUAGCAGAUGACAUGGACAGGAAGAAAUAAAGAAGAAUACCAGAAGAAAAAAAUUGACAGGAAAAGCUUUUAUAGCUAGAUAGUAUAGGCAAGCUUUUAACGCAUCAAAAUAAAGUUGUAACAGAGUUAGUUGGAAAUCAAUUAGUUUGUUAAAGAAUCGAUACAAAUAAGCGCAAUGCUAUAAAUGAAGGAUCAUCUUGGAAAAUGAAUACAAUUUCUGCAUUACAAAACUUCUCUAUUGAGAGUUGGUGUUCAGUAGUGAAGUUAUUUUGGUUUAGAUAAUAAUCCUACCUCUGGUUAUUUUGAAAGAAACCAUCAUUAUAUAAAGAGUAUAUAAAAUUUGGGAGAGAUAGUGAUGAAAAAUAUCUUUAAAUUUGAACACAGGAUAGUCACUACUUCGUCAAGCACAGCAUACAAAUUUCUUCCUCGAUAAUUUAACAUACAAACUCUAGCCUAGGCCAUACAUGCUUUCAAAUAAGAACAUUAUUGAAAUGGAUGCACAAUAAUAACGUUUUCACCAGCAAACAUUCAAAAAAAAAGAAUGGGAAAAAAAACAAAAAUCAAGUCAUUAUGAACAACUAAAGGUGUUUAGGUGAUGUUUGAGAGGAUAAAUUUUAUAAUUAUACCUCCGACCAAGAGAUUGGAGAAAGUUCUGCAUGUUUCCUAUGAGAAAAGCAAAAAGCAAGAGGCCAAGUCCAAUGAUUGCCAUGGUAAAGAGGACUUCCCAAACAAAAUAGCUUGGUACUUGGUUUCCAGCAAGAGUACUGAUUUGCUUCACAAAAUUAAAAAUAUAAUAUUAGGUCAACCGAAAAACAAUUUAAUUUGCACUAAUAUUGACACAAUUAUAACAUCAAAUAGGUGUGUUACAUGAAAUGAAAAAGUUAUUGAGAAGUAGCCCAAAAAAUCAAAGGUUUCAAGAUAGUAAAGAUUAAAAUAAACCUAGUUUUGUAAACUUAAGCAACACCAUCAAAUGAAAAGGGAGGUGUUCUUAGCUUAGGUUAAAGAAGUGCAUCAAAAGUGAUUGAUUACACCCAUGGUUUCCACAAGUUAACCAGCACUUCAUCAUAGGCCUAAUAUUUUUUUUUAAUAAAAAAAUUGAAUACGUGUUAUUUUUAAUUUAAAAAAAAUAUAUAUCGAUGAUGAAAUCUAAAAAUAAUAUAAGACCAAAAAAGAUAUCGACUCGGGUGAACUUUUCAAACACGAACCCGACUCACUAGACCAGAAGCACUAUACAUGAAAAAACCAUGAAGCUCAAUCCCCAACAAAUCAAACAAUAAAGGAUGAAAUCAAGAAAAAAAAUUGAUUAUAAAGAUCUAAAAUAAUAUAUAUAUAUAUAUAUAGUAAUUAAAAAAAUAGGGUAAAAAUAAAAAUAAAUUAGAAGGCAACUAUAAAUUUUUUAUUAGAGGGUUAAAUUAAAAAGAAAAAAUAACUUUAAAAAAAAAAUGAACCAUACUAAAAAAGUAAUAUACUAUAAACUUUGAUUAAAUGAUAAAAUUAAAAACAAAUAAAACUUUUACUAAAGGAACAAAAAAAAUAGAAAUCGGAAGAAUAAAGACCAUGUUGGAAAAAAAAUAUACGACAAAUUGAAAUUUAAAGACUACAUUGACAACAAAUGAAAAUUUUACAAAAGAAUUAAAAAUCAAAAGAAUAGGUACUAGAAUUAAAAUAUCAAUAACAAUGAGGAUCAAUUUGUAAUUUUCAGGGGAUGAGUGAGAAAAGAAAGGGGAAACCUCAUCGACGACCAAGCAUCGCUAACACGAAAUGCACUAAAAGAAAGAGAACAUGGCGGCGUAUCCAACGACAUGGCAGAAGGGCAAGCAUUUUUUACUACCAGGAGGCAUUACACGUGCCGCCCAAAGAGCUCGAGCGCCUCCCACAUUAGCGUGUGAACAGCACGUGCCAACAACUUUUUUGAAUUUAAAAUUAUUUAAUCAUCUUAAAAUAUAUCAAAUUGUACUCCAUGGUUCUGGAAUGAACAAAAUUAACAUGAAAAGACUAAAAAUCCCCUAGACUAACGGGUAAAGAUAUUUUUUUACUUUAUUUAAAAAACAAUAAAAAGAGUUAAAUAUCCUUGGUCAAUAGUACAUUUUUUUAGGCUAAAAGGUCAUUUUACUAUUUAAAAAAGAGAAAAAGUCACUUAUACCAUCGGUCAAAUCUGUAAUAUUAAUGAACCAUGUAAAAAGACUACAUUAAGCCUUUGGUUUUUUCUUUAAAGAGAUAAAAAGUCUAUCGUGGUUUAAAGUUUUUGUUAAUUAUAAAAAGAUGGAAAAUUAUGAUUAGAUGAAGUAUUUAAGUGGAAAGCUUAUAUUACUUGCUAUGGAGAGAAUUUCCAAUUACAUAAUAAAAGCUUAGAAAAAGAAAAAAAAAAUGAUGCAAGAUAGCAUUACUCACAUACCAGGAAUCCCCAAAACAAUGAAUAUAUGUAUCUGGUGAUGAUGUUUUCUCCGGUGAGGUUGACUGCUUUGACAUAGAUUCCAUAAUCAAAACCAUUUGGCGGACCACCCGUUUGAAAACAAUUACUUGCAUUGGGAUUCUGUAUCCAGAUAGCCCAGUUUGGAAGAGACCCGUAUUUUUCAUUAGCAUCCCCGCGUCCACAAUCUAUAAAUUUCAUGCACUCAUCUUGAAAACCAGUAUCAUGGCAAGCAUCACGGAGACAUUGAUUAACCCGCUGUUAAAAGAGUGGUAGAGUCAUUUAAGUACUAUCACUAACGCAUCAAAAUACAGAACUAGCUUCGGAUUUCAAUCAAUUAGCCAAAAGGAGAAAGAAAGCAAUAUUUCAAAAAAAGAAAAUGAUCCAUGAAAUGAUAAUGUGAUAAGAAAAGGAAAUGUUAUGCCAGUAAACCAAAAUAUUCCUUUCAAUCUACCAUUGCUUCAGAGGUUAAGAACUAGAGAUUGAAUAUCAUGAGGAGAUCGAGGGUGAGAACUCAUGGAAAAAAUGUAUAUGCAUCUCUGGAUACUAGAGAUCCAGAAUAGUAAUAGAGUUCAUAAUAGCUUAUGGAUAUUCAAAGGUUAAGAAAAUGUUUGAGAAAUAAAGCUCAACACACUCACCUGCAACCCUAAGAGAUACCAACAUGAACCAACGAUGUGACCAGAUAGUAUAAAGGUAAAAAGAUUUAUAAAGAAGUUUGCCAAUGCUGUCUCAAAUAUGAAGCCACUUGGAGAUUGACCAAUAAGAAGAGGAAUAAACCUCCACAGCCUCGGAAUGUACUGGACAAGAACAGCUGCCCGUAGAAGAUUUUUGGCAUUAUUUGCUCCAAAGUUUCCCAAUCCUUCUGGUAGGACUUUUAAUAUAAUGAUCACACGUGAUUACAAAGAAUAUGGUAUUAGAUUCCAGUGCUAAUUUAUUAGACAUAAUUUACUGAAUCUGAAAGAUUACAACAUAAAUUCCAUGGAAACCAUACAAGCAAUCACAUUAUUUCAUUUUCACAAUUCGCUUAGUUUUGCAAUUUAUUGUGAUUUAAUUUAUAACAACACCAAGGAUAGUCAGCUUCUUCGAAAGUGGUUAUCUAGACACUCUCCAAAUCUCAUUGUAGGAAAGAUAGAUGGCACCUACAUGUAUACGAUCAACGGUGAGAUUAGGAUAAUGUUCAUAGAGUCAAUCAUGAAGUGUCUAUCGUAGCAUUGCUCAUUAGAGGCUGCAGCAUUUGACACUUCACAUUCGUUAUCACUCCAACAUUUCCACGUGCUUACCAAGUCUUCAUUUCAAAUUGACGACAUUAUUUAUCCUCACCAUAUUAGACUAUCAUACUCGAUGACGUGCUUUAUUUCAAAUUGAUAACAUUAUUUAUCAUCUCCAUAUUAGGCAGUCAUACUCAAUGACGUGCUUUAUUUCAAAUUGAUGACAUUAUUUAUCAUCUCCAUAUUAGGCAAUCAUACUCAGUGACGUGCUUCAUGGCCCUAAUACCCAAAGUUGUCCCUAUGGCCGUCAGAAUCCAAAUUCAUGUAAUGACAAGCAAUUAAUUUCCACAUUCUCAGCCAGGUUCAGAAGUUGAUGUUUAGAUGUUUGUUAUUUAAACAUAAAAAUAUAGAUACAAUAUGUUGUGUUGAAUCCUAAGUAAAAUUUAUAAUGUAAAUAGUUAUCAUGUUAGAAAGAGAAUGAAUAACUAACCUGUGGGAGCGGUAAUACCACAAAUAAGUCAAUAAAAAAACAUCCUUGGAGGUAGUGCUUAGCAAUUUUCUUGGGAUGGUCAACUAACUCUCCAGCACCAACCACUCUAGAUUCAGGAGCAACAUAAGCUAACCUAAACUGCAAAAAUAAAUGAGUAUUAAUGAAUCAAUACUUGCUAAGAAUAGUUUUCAUAUAUUAGUCAACUGGACUUUAAAAGAGCUUCAAGACAGAAGCAAUGAAUCCGACAAUCAUACUUUAAUAAUUAAAAAAGCACAUAAACAAGCUCAUCAUUGUUUAUAGGAGUUAUUUUCAUCACUGGGCUUAUUUUAUAUGCCAUCACGGGCUUCUUCACCUUUAAAUUUUAAUCUCACGUGUCAUAAAAAGUUCUAUGAUGCUAGAAAGAAAGUUUUUGGCUAAAAUUUCACAUGAUCUUUUUAGCUUUAACUGUGUCAAGUGGUGUGUUACUUUUGAGUGUGGGGUUGAAGUUACUACAAAGCCCAUCAUAAGUGAUCUCUAAGUUCUAAAUAAAAAGAUUGACAUCAGUACUAAUGGAGAUAACAUGUCUAAUAGCAGCUAGAAAGAAAGAAAGAAAGAAAAUCAGAUUAAUGUAAGCAGCUAGUGUACCUGAAGAAGUAUGUUCAGUAAGUAGAUGAGAUCAGUCAAGCUUCUAAACACCACAAUUGUUUUAGUCAUUGGCCAAUCAAUAACUAUGCAAUUGUUUUCCUGCAACCAAAAAUUAAAAUCUUGUAAUUCUAAAAAAAAUACAAGCUAAAGUAUGAACUAUGGGGAAUAUCAUAUGAAAUGCCUAAAUAGUAAAGCUUGAAGUCAAAAACAGAUGAAGUAUAUUAGCAAUAACGGCAGCUUUUGAGCAAUUAUUAUGGCAAUUUUUUUCAAAUAAUUGUCUGAGGAAUCUAGAAGUUUUAUACAAUCCAAGUAAAAUCACGAACAGAUAAAGACCUCAUCAUGAACCCUCUUAGCAAUAGAAUAUCCAUGAUUAGAACACGGAAAAUUAAAAGCCCUAAAACUUAACAAAACUGCUUAAAAGUUGCUAAAAUCAUGGUUUUAGAGCUGUAUGUAACUGCAUGUUUUGUAUGUAACUACAUGAUCUGUGAACUGUACUAUUUAACGCCACUCUAGCUAUAAAUUAUGGAACUAUAAGCAAGUUAAACAUACUUGUUGCACCCAUAGUAGGAAGAAAAACAAGGGAUCAACAAAAAUUGCCACCAAGCACGAAAUGACAAAAAAUUUGUUCCACUUCUGAACCGCUUGAGCAUGAGGAUUCAUAACUCUAGGAAUAUAUAAGUUUAUAACAUCAUUGAAUCUCCUUGCCCAGCCUUUAGCAUCUCCAUAGAGAACACUACGAAACUGCAAGAAGCACAAAAAUAGAAAGCUGGUGAACACAUUGAGGCAGGUCCAUAAAAUUAUUAUAGUAUAUAAUAAUCAAGACAUGGGACAAUAUUAUAAAGUAAAGCUAUGAUCUAGUAAUGGUUCAACAGACUAUUUAUAAGCCAAUCACAGGAUACUAAAUAUUGUUUCCUACUUAUAGAAUUAGAGAAGAUACACAAUUCUCCUGCACUUAGAAUGUAAAUUUUUUUACAGGUACAUGCUGAAGAUUUUAUUUUAUUUUAAGCCCAUGUAACUGAGAAAGAUUAUUGAAAGAUCACACAUAACUUUUCUCUCCAAUGCAUUACCACAAGGAAAACACUGCUUCUUGAUCUAGUUUGAAACUAGCCAACCCCUUCCAUAAAGUUCUUACAAAUCUACUUGAAGAAAAAAUAGGUUUGACUAGCUUUCUAAGUUAAUCAUGGCAUAGGAACUUACCAAAAAACUAAACAAACCUAGAAACAUAAGCAUCAAAGCCAAUAAUCACCAACUUAGAUUAAAUUUUGUGAAUGCAUCAACUCAUCAUCUUCACCAUAUGCAUAUAAGCUGUCAAAAUCUCCAAAACAAAACGAACCUAUUCUCUUAAAAGCUAUCAUAAAAAUAUAAUAAAUCUUGAACUUUGAAAAGCCAAAAGGUGAACUAGUGUUUCUUCUUCCUCCACCAAAUUCCUCCUUCUUGAACCAUGGUUUUCCCCUACAUCAUGCCAUGGUCAUUAAAACCAACCAACAGAAUGUCAAAGAAUAGACCUUGAGCUUCGUUGUCACACAUUUAUGCCAUGGAAGAAUUUAACUGAUUACCAAGGUAAAUUUUACAAACAAAAUCAUGCAAAUGAACAUUCCAAAAGAUCACAAGAACUUAAAUGGUUCCCAAACAGUUAAGGCUACAUCCAAAGAAGAAUGCAAAUAGAUGAAUUUAGGAUAAACACAUAGAUAAUAUCCAAUUCAAUACCAAAAAGAGAAUAUGAAAUUCAACAACUUCCCAACCAACAAAAUAAGUCUAUAGUGAACCACAUUUUUAGGUAUUAUAUAGUUCAAUACCCACAAAGCAUAUGCAGCUGGAGCUCAUUAAACCAAAUCCCCCUCAGAAAAUACAAGUUUAAUACUCCACAACCACUACCUAACUAUAUAUACUUAAAUCACAGUCCACGAUGUAACAUUUUUCCUUUUCAAUUAGCUCAAUUAAAAGAAAAUAUUGCUCAAAAUAAGAGGAAAUUAGGACACAAUAUCUCUGAUGACAUGUAACACCUGUCAACCAUAAAGAAUAUGAACAUUACCCCUCUUGGAUCUGCACCUCUAUUACCACCACUUUUUCCUUCAUGAAAGCAUGAAAAAUUAUUAUCAUAAUCCCAUUCCACCAUUCUAUCACCACAGCCUCGAGAGUAAGAACCAAUCACCAUUACAACUUUUAUUUUAACUUGUGAAAUAUAUCACAUCAUUAAUUCACAAGAUUUCAUCUUUUCACCAAGUGCAACCAAUUUGGGAUAGCAUGUCAAGGAAACGAGAAGCCUUCUGGAAGAUUUUUAUAUCUUCUCCCAUUAAGCAACUAGGCAUCACUUUCAAAGAGAUGGCAAUGAAAUGAUGGCCUGUUGUGAAAAAACUGUAGCAACUAUUGAUAAACAUUGCAAUAGGAGAGAAACCAGAAAAAACACAAGAUUUAACUUGGUUCGACAAUGUGUCUACAUCCACAAGAGUGAGGAGUUUUUGUUUUUUACCAUGUCUAAAUAGGAUUACAUGGUAUGUAUUUAUUGUAGACCCUUAACCACCCAAGAAAACCUAAAUGCCUAAGGAAUCCUAAUCGCUCAAAGAGUAUUAAUAUUUUUUACCCCUUUACUGUACCAUGGGGGCAUUGCCCUCGUAACCCCCAACCUAUUAAUCGUCUCUAACAACAAAAUAUGAAAUAAAUCCUAGAGAGGCAGAUAAUGUCAUUCCGCUUCGGCAUCUGACUAGACCCACACUUGCUAUGUUGAUAACAAAAGAGGUCAUCAUGAAACCAAACUGGUGAUUGAGAAAAUCAUAAUGUUAUGAUAGAAUUACUUAACGAAAGUGACCAAGUAAAAAUAUAGGCAACAAAAUAGCCAUUUAUGGCUGAAGUCUCAAUCAUAAUCCAUAUAGAAAUCGGUUCCUCCUGUUUGUAUAAUGAAGGGCAACAAGAAGUAGCAGUAAAAAUCUAGGAUAUCAUAACAGCAACUCCAGAAGCUAUAAUAUUUUUUUCUAUUAGAACAAAAGCAUACCCUGGAAUCUUUGGAAUCGUAAUACGAUGGGCAUGUUGUGCAGUAAGGAUCAUUGCACAUCCCUAGUUGUCCAGACCUCAUUAAGUGGGCAUUUGUAUCAGUAUACAUAUCAUCCCAGUCACUCGGAUCCAUUCCUUUAAAAGAUUGACAUCUUUCUGGUUUGGGUUCCACCUUUUUAUGAGCUGUUACAACAUGAUUUGCCAGGAAUAGGUUUUCAGUGUUACGGUUGAUAUAUAAAGGACCGCUCAUUUGUACCAUUGGAGCUUUUCUUUCACUAUGCAGUGGACCAGUAUAGCCACCAAGAUUGGUUUCAAAACCAUAGGACUCCAUGGAAUUCACAGGAAUAGAAAUU
rnacentral:lncRNA from 1 species